AGUGGAAUUGCUGGGUUAUAUGGUACCUGUUUCUUUUUGAGGAACUGUCAUACUGUUUGCCAAAGUGCCUGCACCAUUUUAUAUUCCCAGCUGCAAU
rnacentral:pre_miRNA from 1 species